rnacentral:rRNA from 1 species
GACGAACGCUGGCGGCGUGCUUAACACAUGCAAGUCGAACGGAAAGGCCCUGCUUUUGUGGGGUGCUCGAGUGGCGAACGGGUGAGUAACACGUGAGUAACCUGCCCUUGACUUUGGGAUAACUUCAGGAAACUGGGGCUAAUACCGGAUAGGAGCUCCUGCUGCAUGGUGGGGGUUGGAAAGUUUGGGCGGUUGGGGGUGGACUCGCGGCUUACCAGCUUGUUGGUGGGGUAGUGGCCUACCAAGGCUUUGACGGGUAGCCGGCCUGAGAGGGUGACCGGCCACAUUGGGACUGAGAUACGGCCCAGACUCCUACGGGAGGCAGCAGUGGGGAAUAUUGCACAAUGGGCGGGAGCCUGAUGCAGCAACGGCGCGUGCGGGAUGACGGCCUUCGUGUUGUAAACCGCUUUCGCCUGUGACGAAGCGGGAGUGACGGUAAUGGGUAAAGAAGCACCGGCUAACUACGUG